GUUAAGGCUGAGGCGUGAUGACGAGGCACCACGGUGCUGAAGUGACAAAUGCCCUGCUUCCAGGAAAAGCCUCUAAGCAUCAGGUAACAUCAAAUCGUACCCCAAACCGACACAGGUGGUCAGGUAGAGAAUACCAAGGCGCUUGAGAGAACUCGGGUGAAGGAACUAGGCAAAAUGGUGCCGUAACUUCGGGAGAAGGCACGCUGACAUGUAGGUGAAGCCCCUGCGGGUGGAGCUGAAGUCAGUCGAAGAUACCAGCUGGCUGCAACUGUUUAUUAAAAACACAGCACUGUGCAAACACGAAAGUGGACGUAUACGGUGUGACGCCUGCCCGGUGCCGGAAGGUUAAUUGAUGGGGUUAUCGCAAGAGAAGCUCCUGAUCGAAGCCCCGGUAAACGGCGGCCGUAACUAUAACGGUCCUAAGGUAGCGAAAUUCCUUGUCGGGUAAGUUCCGACCUGCACGAAUGGCGUAAUGAUGGCCAGGCUGUCUCCACCCGAGACUCAGUGAAAUUGAACUCGCUGUGAAGAUGCAGUGUACCCGCGGCAAGACGGAAAGACCCCGUGAACCUUUACUACAGCUUGACACUGAACAUUGAGCCUUGAUGUGUAGGAUAGGUGGGAGGCUUUGAAGCGUGGACGCCAGUCUGCGUGGAGCCGACCUUGAAAUACCACCCUUUAAUGUUUGAUGUUCUAACCUGGCGCCGUGAUCCGGCGUGGGGACAGUGUCUGGUGGGUAGUUUGACUGGGGCGGUCUCCUCCCAAAGUGUAACGGAGGAGCACGAAGGUCAGCUAAUCCUGGUCGGACAUCAGGAGGUUAGUGCAAUGGCAUAAGCUGGCUUGACUGCGAGAGUGACGGCUCGAGCAGGUGCGAAAGCAGGUCAUAGUGAUCCGGUGGUUCUGUAUGGAAGGGCCAUCGCUCAACGGAUAAAAGGUACUCCGGGGAUAACAGGCUGAUACCGCCCAAGAGUUCAUAUCGACGGCGGUGUUUGGCACCUCGAUGUCGGCUCAUCACAUCCUGGGGCUGAAGUAGGUCCCAAGGGUAUGGCUGUUCGCCAUUUAAAGUGGUACGCGAGCUGGGUUUAGAACGUCGUGAGACAGUUCGGUCCCUAUCUGCCGUGGGCGCUGGAGAAUUGAGGGGGGCUGCUCCCAGUACGAGAGGACCGGAGUGGACGCAUCACUGGUGUUCGGGUUGUCAUGCCAAUGGCACUGCCCGGUAGCUAAAUGCGGAAGAGAUAAGUGCUGAAAGCAUCUAAGCACGAAACUUGCCCCGAGAUGAGUUCUCCCUGAGACU
rnacentral:rRNA from 1 species